UACGAAGGGGACUAGCGUUGUUCGGAAUCACUGGGCGUAAAGCGCACGUAGGCGGAUGUGUCAGUCAGGGGUGAAAUCCCGGGGCUCAACCUCGGAACUGCCUUUGAUACAGCACGUCUCGAGUCCGGAAGAGGUGGGUGGAAUUCCUAGUGUAGAGGUGAAAUUCGUAGAUAUUAGGAAGAACACCGGUGGCGAAGGCGGCCCACUGGUCCGGUACUGACGCUGAGGUGCGAAAGCUAGGGGAGCAAACGGG
rnacentral:rRNA from 1 species